CACGUAGGGCGCAAGCGUUGUCCGGAAUUACUGGGCGUAAAGAGCUCGUAGGUGGUUUGUCGCGUUGUUCGUGAAAACUCACAGCUCAACUGUGGGCGUGCGGGCGAUACGGGCAGACUGGAGUACUGCAGGGGAGACUGGAAUUCCUGGUGUAGCGGUGGAAUGCGCAGAUAUCAGGAGGAAUACCGGUGGCGAAAGCGACUCUCUGGACGGCAACUGACGCUGAGGCACGAAAGCGUGGGGAGCAAACAGG
rnacentral:rRNA from 1 species